CCUACGGGAGGCUGCAGUGAGGAAUAUUGGUCAAUGGACGAGAGUCUGAACCAGCCAAGUAGCGUGAAGGAUGACUGCCCUAUGGGUUGUAAACUUCUUUUAUAUGGGAAUAAAAUGUUCCACGUGUGGGAUUUUGUAUGUACCAUAUGAAUAAGGAUCGGCUAACUCCGUGCCAGCAGCCGCGGUAAUACGGAGGAUCCGAGCGUUAUCCGGAUUUAUUGGGUUUAAAGGGAGCGUAGGUGGAUCGUUAAGUCAGUUGUGAAAGUUUGCGGCUCAACCGUAAAAGUGCAGUUGAAACUGGCAGUCUUGAGUACCGUAGAGGUGGGCGGAAUUCGUGGUGUAGCGGUGAAAUGCUUAGAUAUCGCGAAGAACUCCGAUUGCGAAGGCAGUUCACUGGACUGCAACUGACACUGAGGCUCGAAAGUGUGGGUAUCAAACAGGAUUAGAUACCCGGGUAGUC
rnacentral:rRNA from 1 species